rnacentral:rRNA from 1 species
UUUGCAGGGUUUUCUCGGAGUCACGAGCAUAUCAAUAAGCGGAGGAAAAGAAACCAACCGGGAUUGCCUUAGUAACGGCGAGUGAAGCGGCAAAAGCUCAAAUUUGAAAUCUGGUACCUUCGGUGCCCGAGUUGUAAUUUGGAGAGGGCAACUUUGGGGCCGUUCCUUGUCUAUGUUCCUUGGAACAGGACGUCAUAGAGGGUGAGAAUCCCGUGUGGCGAGGAGUGCGGUUCUUUGUAAAGUGCCUUCGAAGAGUCGAGUUGUUUGGGAAUGCAGCUCUAAGUGGGUGGUAAAUUCCAUCUAAAGCUAAAUAUUGGCGAGAGACCGAUAGCGAACAAGUACAGUGAUGGAAAGAUGAAAAGAACUUUGAAAAGAGAGUGAAAAAGUACGUGAAAUUGUUGAAAGGGAAGGGCAUUUGAUCAGACAUGGUGUUUUGUGCCCUCUGCUCCUUGUGGGUAGGGGAAUCUCGCAUUUCACUGGGCCAGCAUCAGUUUUGGUGGCAGGAUAAAUCCAUAGGAAUGUAGCUUGCCUCGGUAAGUAUUAUAGCCUGUGGGAAUACUGCCAGCUGGGACUGAGGACUGCGACGUAAGUCAAGGAUGCUGGCAUAAUGGUUAUAUGCCGCCCGUCGUAA